AAGGUCCCUGAGGUUUGCUGUCACAGUUGGCUGUUUGGCAGGGAUCUGACCUGUCAUUUGGAAGAACAAGGUUCUUAAAUUCCAGAGGUCAUCUGGGAAUAGUGUCCAAGCAUUCCCAGUUUCCUUCCCUAGAGAUCAAACUCAGGGCCUUGUGCACUCGAGGCAAGUAAGUAUCCAUUCUGUCGUUGAGCUACAUCUCCAGCCCUAACUUCCCACCUUCACCACAGAAGAAACCUAGGAGCGGUGGGAGUAGGAGAAUCACAAACUGAGUGAUGUAGAAAGCAGAUGGGAAAGAGGAUGGAUGAUGAACCAAAGACCUGUGACCAGAGAAAUGCUCAGACAGACAUAGCAAGGCCUGCCCUGUGGUCACUAGAAGCAGACACACACCAGGAAGGUUAAGAAGGCUUGACCUGACGAAAGAACAGAAACUCAUUGACUAUAUACACAAUGUAAGAAUGAACGCAAAUCAUCACUGACAAGGAACCAGAACCUUACCCUCACCUAACAACUGUGCCACCCUCCAAGCAGAGCCAUUGUUCAUUGAAACAGUUGAUGAACGACUUCAUGGAUAGACCAUCGUAAUGCACACACCAUUUCUUAUAUGAAUGUAACCUGUUCCUGCGGGCUGAGAAUGAAGACAAUCACUCAAGUCAAAUAGCUUUGACCAAAGAAGGAAAUCUGUAUCCAAAAAUUGUGCCUACAAUUCAUUCCUUGGCACUGCAGAACUGUCAAGUCUUAGCUUAUCUACUGUGGAGGUAAAAUCCUCCAUAGUAGAGAAUGUGAGGGACAUUCAAGUACAGCCUUAUUACAAUGAACUCCAAUGUCCAAAAAUUGUUCUUAUUUUGGGUUUGUACCACCAAAAGAGCCAAGAUUUUAAGCUCUACUAAAAACAAAACAAAACAAACAAACAAACAAAAUGACUUUAUCUAUUCAUGUUCAUUAAAAAAACUAAUAGUGAUAUAUUAUUUUAAAAUAUAUAGUUAAUAUAGUUGGAGUUACUUAAAAUUUAUAUUGAGAA
rnacentral:lncRNA from 1 species